rnacentral:rRNA from 1 species
UACGAAGGGGGCUAGCGUUGCUCGGAAUUACUGGGCGUAAAGGGAGCGUAGGCGGAUAGUUAAGUCAGAGGUGAAAGCCCAGGGCUCAACCUUGGAAUUGCCUUUGAUACUGGCUAUCUUGAGUAUGGGAGAGGUAAGCGGAACUCCGAGUGUAGAGGUGAAAUUCGUAGAUAUUCGGAAGAACACCAGUGGCGAAGGCGGUUCUCUGGGCC